UACAGAGGGUGCUAGCGUUGUUCGGAAUCAUUGGGCGUAAAGGGCGUGUAGGCGGUUUGUUAAGUCAUGUGUGAAAUCCCUCGGCUCAACCGAGGAAAGACGCAUGAAACUGGCAAGCUAGAGUACCGAAGAGGGGGGUGGAAUUCCCGGUGUAGCGGUGAAAUGCGUAGAUAUCAGGAGGAACACCAAUGGCGAAGGCAGCACUCUGGGACGUGACUGACGCUGAGACGCGAAAGCGUGGGGAGCAAACAGG
rnacentral:rRNA from 1 species